GAUGAACGCUGGCGGCGUGCCUAAUACAUGCCAGUCGAGCGAACAGACGAGGAGCUUGCUCCUCUGACGUUAGCGGCGGACGGGUGAGUAACACGUGGAUAACCUACCUAUAAGACUGGGAUAACUUCGGGAAACCGGAGCUAAUACCGGAUAAUAUAUUGAACCGCAUGGUUCAAUAGUGAAAGACGGUUUUGCUGUCACUUAUAGAUGGAUCCGCGCCGCAUUAGCUAGUUGGUAAGGUAACGGCUUACCAAGGCAACGAUGCGUAGCCGACCUGAGAGGGUGAUCGGCCACACUGGAACUGAACCACGGUCCAGACUCCUACGGAAGGCAGCAGUAGGGAAUCUUCCGCAAUGGGCGAAAGCCUGACGGAGCAACGCCGCGUGAGUGAUGAAGGUCUUCGGAUCGUAAAACUCUGUUAUUAGGGAAGAACAAAUGUGUAAGUAACUAUGCACGUCUUGACGGUACCUAAUCAGAAAGCCACGGCUAACUACGUG
rnacentral:rRNA from 1 species